rnacentral:rRNA from 1 species
UCUCAACCGUUGUUCGGAUUCAUUGGGCGUAAAGGGUGCGUAGGCGGUCGCGCAAGUCGGAUGUGAAAUCUCAGGGCUCAACCCUGAAACUGCAUUCGAUACUGCGUGGCUAGAGUGCUGGAGAGGAGACUGGAGUUUACGGUGUAGCGGUGAAAUGCGUAGAUAUCGUAAGGAAGACCAGUGGCGAAGGCGAGUCUCUGGACAGCAACUGACGCUGAGGCACGAAGGCCAGGGGAGAAAACGGG